rnacentral:tRNA from 1 species
AGUUAAUUAGCUUAUAUUUUAAAGCAUAUACUUUGAAAGUAUAAGAAAGAUUUAAAUUUAUUGACUU